GACGAACGCUGGCGGCGUGCUUAACACAUGCAAGUCGAACGGAAAGGCCCUUCGGGGUACUCGAGUGGCGAACGGGUGAGUAACACGUGGGUGAUCUGCCCUGCACUUUGGGAUAAGCCUGGGAAACUGGGUCUAAUACCGGAUAGGACCACGGUCUGCAUGGAUUGUGGUGGAAAGCUUUUGCGGUGUGGGAUGGGCCCGCGGCCUAUCAGCUUGUUGGUGAGGUUACGGCUCACCAAGGCGACGACGGGUAGCCGGCCUGAGAGGGUGUCCGGCCACACUGGGACUGAGAUACGGCCCAGACUCCUACGGGAGGCAGCAGUGGGGAAUAUUGCACAAUGGGCGCAAGCCUGAUGCAGCGACGCCGCGUGAGGGAUGACGGCCUUCGGGUUGUAAACCUCUUUCGCCAGGGACGAAGCGCAAGUGACGGUACCUGGAGAAGAAGCACCGGCCAACUACGUGCCAGCCGCCGCGGUAACAC
rnacentral:rRNA from 1 species